rnacentral:sRNA from 1 species
GGCUGGUGGGCAUGCAGUGGUGUUUAUAACUAACUGAUCACAAACACUUACACAUUUGUUUCUUCUCUACUUCCUUGACUAGCCUUAA